UACGUAGGCAGCAAGCGUUGUUCGGAGUUACUGGGCGUAAAGAGUGCGUAGGCGGUGGCCUAAGUUCGGUGUGAAAUCUCCCGGCUUAACUGGGAGGGUGCGCCGGAAACUGGGCUGCUGGAGUGUGGGAAAGGCAAGCGGAAUUCCUGGUGUAGCGGUGAAAUGCGUAGAUAUCAGGAGGAACACCGGCGGUGUAGACGGCUUGCUAGACCAUAACUGACGCUGAGGCACGAAAGCGUGGGUAGCAAACAGG
rnacentral:rRNA from 1 species